rnacentral:rRNA from 1 species
GAUGAACGCUGGCGGCGUGCCUAAUACAUGCAAGUCGAGCGAACAGACGAGGAGCUUGCUCCUCUGACGUUAGCGGCGGACGGGUGAGUAACACGUGGAUAACCUACCUAUAAGACUGGGAUAACUUCGGGAAACCGGCGCUAAUACCGGAUAAUAUAUUGAACCGCAUGGUUCAAUAGUGAAAGACGGUUUUGCUGUCACUUAUAGAUGGAUCCGCGCCGCAUUAGCUAGUUGGUAAGGUAACGGCUUACCAAGGCGACGAUGCGUAGCCGACCUGAGAGGGUGAUCGGCCACACUGGAACUGAGACACGGUCCAGACUCCUACGGGAGGCAGCAGUAGGGAAUCUUCCGCAAUGGGCGAAAGCCUGACGGAGCAACGCCGCGUGAGUGAUGAAGGUCUUCGGAUCGUAAAACUCUGUUAUUAGGGAAGAACAAAUGUGUAAGUAACUAUACACGUCUUGACGGUACCGAAUCAGAAAGCCACGGCUAACUACGUG